rnacentral:misc_RNA from 1 species
CUGAAUGGCUUUGGCCUUCAACCUUCAAACCUGUGGAAGCAAACCGUGCUUCGGGGUUUUGACCCCGCAUCUAUGCAGUAAAGCGUUUGUCUGAAUCAAAAGCAAGAAUUA